ACCACCGGUUCUCGUUCGAUCACCGAAGUUAAGCAUCGUAGAGCCAGGUCAGUACUUAGAUGGGGGACCGCUUGGGAACACCUGGUACUGUAAG